rnacentral:rRNA from 1 species
GACGAACGCUGGCGGCGUGCCUAAUACAUGCAAGUCGAACGCUUCUUUUCUACCGAGUGCUUGCACUCACUUGAAAAGAAGAGUGGCGAACGGGUGAGUAACACGUGGGUAACCUGCCCAUCAGAAGGGGAUAACACUUGGAAAUAGGUGCUAAUACCGUAUAACAAUAGGAACCGCAUGGUUUCAAUUUGAAAGGCGCUUUCGGGUGUCGCUGAUGGAUGGACCCGCGGUGCAUUAGCUAGUUGGUGAGGUAACGGCUCACCAAGGCAAUGAUGCAUAGCCGACCUGAGAGGGUGAUCGGCCACACUGGGACUGAGACACGGCCCAGACUCCUACGGGAGGCAGCAGUAGGGGAUCUUCGGCAAUGGACGAAAGUCUGACCGAGCAACGCCGCGUGGGUGAAGAAGGUUUUCAGAUCGUAAAACUCUGUUGUUAGAGAAGAACAAGGAUGAGAGUAACUGUUCAUCCCUUGACGGUAUCUAACCAGAAAGCCACGGCUAACUAUGUGCCAGCCGCCGCGGUAA